AAUGACACAUUGUUUUGGUAGGUUUGAAGAACAAUCAAAGAUGAUGUAGUACGUUGUGUUUGCUGUAUGCGGUAGAAUAUGAGAUGAUGUCUUAGGGUAAUUAAAUCCGCAUCCUAAAUUAAUUUUUGGCAUAUGUAAGUCUUUUCCUUAGCUAUCGAUGACGUGUAAUGUGUUUAAAAUUGCUGAUUAAAGAGUAUGAGCUUAUCUAUUUGCCUACAAUUUUAAAUGAAAAACAGAGAAAUAUGUGUGAUAAUCAAUGUAUGUCAACCUAGGUUUAGAGUUUAUUUCAGAUGCAAAUAUAUUUUGCUUAUGUUAACUUCAAUUCGAAUUCUCAAUAUUUGUAAAUAUCAAUCGAAUGGUGUCGAAAUAUUUCGAAGCCCUGCCGUGUACUGCCUGUAAGCUCGAAGCAUAUUAUAUUUUAUUAAAUUGAAUAAAAACCACGCGUUUGUGA